AACAGGAUUAGAUACCCUGGUAGUCCACACCGUAAACGUUGGGCGCUAGGUGUGGGGUCCAUUCCACGGAUUCCGUGCCGCAGCUAACGCAUUAAGCGCCCCGCCUGGGGAGUACGGCCGCAAGGCUAAAACUCAAAGGAAUUGACGGAGGCCCGCACAAGCGGCGGAGCAUGCGGAUUAAUUCGAUGCAACGCGAAGAACCUUACCUGGGUUUGACAUACACCCUGCCGCUCCAGAGAUGGGGCUUCUUUUGGGGGUGUACAGGUGGUGCAUGGCUGUCGUCAGCUCGUGUCGUGAGAUGUUGGGUUAAGUCCCGCGACGAGCGCAACCCUCGUUCUAUGUUGCCAGCACGUUAUGGUGGGAACUCAUAGGAGACUGCCGGGGUCAACUCGGAGGAAGGUGGGGAUGACGUCAAAUCAUCAUGCCCCUUAUGUCUUGGGCUUCACGCAUGCUACAAUGGCCGGUACAAAGGGCUGCGAUACCGUAAGGUGGAGCGAAUCCCAAAAAGCCGGUCUCAGUUCGGAUUGAGGUCUGCAACUCGACCUCAUGAAGUCGGAGUCGCUAGUAAUCGCAGAUCAGCAACGCUGCGGUGAAUACGUUCCCGGGC
rnacentral:rRNA from 1 species